CACCCCGCUGUAGUCUGUAAUGGACUGGCCUGAGGUCUCACUACAAACAAGCGUCUGCUGGAAGAGAGUAGGUGAGUUGUGUUUAGUCUCUUUGCUAAAGAAAUGAGUCAAAGUUAAAAAGAUGUUUGGUGUCUAGUACUAUGUCUGUGACCCUAUAUGUCCUGUUGAUGAAGUUAGGUGCUGUUCUGAGCAUUAUUUGUGGCUAUAGAGUGGCGUUUUGGUUGAUGUUUGUUUAUGGCUCCUCAGACCGCUGUGUAUUGACUGGGAAAGUGCUCUCAGGAUGCCAUCCCAGUAUAACAGAUGUAUUAAAGACAAAACAUUUGUGCCCUUGUUGAAAAUAGAUAAAAGUCUCUCCCCUGGAUGCCUGAUUCAUUUACAGCGAGAAGGUGCUGUUUUAGUGAGUCCACUUUAUUAUAAACUGUCUGUUUAGUUUUGUAAAGAAUUACUGUGAAAAAUAGACAUGUAAGAACCGGGAUAUUUUAAUGUGCUCAUUUACACUUAAAUAAAGAGAAUCAAGUCCAGAAAGACUGAUUUCUGGUUUUCUUGUUGAACCAUCACUGAAGUCUGAGUCUGACCGCUCAGUCCGUCCAAUCCUCCUCCAAAUCUCCUCAUCUCCCCAGAAUCUGUUCAUCCUCCGUCUUCAGACUCUGAAUCAUCUGCAGCUUCUCAGACCCUCCAGCAGUCAGCGGGGCGUAGUAAACACUGCAUCGAUGGUGUAAUACUAUCAUUUUUCUGCAGGUUUGGCUCUCGUCCCGCUCAGGCAGCAGUGGACACAACAAAACAAAAGCUUAAUCCCGUGCUUCUCCGUGUGUGGUGGGUAAUCCUUAAUCCAAAGGUCACAGCGGGGGAGGGACACAGCGGGGAUGUUUUACGUCGUCACAUCUCAGUUCGUUUCUGAGGCUUGAAGCAGCUGAGGCACACGGUGUCCUCUUAUACCUGCUUAUUAUGGAGAUUAAAGGGACAUUCAGUGUGUUUUAAACCUCUGAGUGUGUGGUUUCAUUUCCACUCAGUGUUACAGGAAAAUCUGGUGAAAGUACCCAACAGAGAAAAGACGAACCCUGAAACUGAAACAGACCUCUGCCCCUAUUUUAUUGAUUUUAUUACAACAAAUCAAGUUCUGAAACUGAAAAACUUCAAAUGGCAUAAACAUAUUUAAAAAAAUCAGUACUGUGACAUUUCAACUGUGUGCAGUACAACCCAUCAUAGUAGAGUGGAAUACAAUACAAUACAACACAGUACUACAAAAUACUGUACACUAGGAUAAAAUACUACAAAAGAUACUGGACAAUUCAAUACUAAGGUUAAACGAGUUGAUUGAAUUAUUACCAGAAUAAGAAUAACUUAAUUUUAUACCAAAAGGGAAAUUCAAUCAUGUAAAAUAUGUGAUCUAUGUCACAGUGUGACGUGAAAAGACCUAAAACAGACACAUUUUCAUACAUCAUAAAAAGAUAUGAUAGGAUACAAGACGAUACUUGACAAUAUAACACAGUAAAAUAUUUUACGAUAUGUUACAAUACCAUAUGAUACAAUACGAUACGAUAAUUUAGGAUACAACACAAUACGUUACAAUACCAUACGAUAAGAUACGUUACAGUACAACACGAUACAAUGCGUUACAAUUCAACACAACAUGAUGCGAUAUGUUACGAUAGGUAACAAUAUUACAUGAUACGAUACGCUACCAUACAGUAUGAUACAACACGAUACAAUAGGUUACAAUACAUCACGAUAUGAUACGAUACGAUAUGGUAUAUGUUACAAUACCACACGAAACGAUACAACAUGAUACGAUAUGAUACGUUGCAAUACAACACAAUAUGUCACGAUACGAUCCAAUACAAUACGAUACAGUUUGGUACUUUAUGAUAGCGUCGGAUUGGGUAGGACACAGUCCAGUAAAAUAGGAUCAGGUUUAUGAUGUGCUACAACAUGAUACGUUAAAAUCAUGAAUACACUAUGAUAUGAUACAGUACGAGUAUUGAGUGAACAUGAUGCACUUAAAAAUGAUGCAACAGGAUAGUUUAGAAAGGACAUAUAUGAUAAGGUUUGAUUAGAUAUUGUAGUGUAGGGCAGAAUCCAGUUCAGUUCAUUAUAAUAAAGUUGUUUUACAGUCAGUUUUCCUCUUUCAUAUAUUAACCUGCCUUCAUAACUCUAUAAAAGUUUUAAACAAUAAAAAGUUAAUUUAUUAAUAAGAAGAAGAGCAGAUAAAUAAAUCAUCUGAAUGUGAUCAAACAGGUUCAGAGGAAACUUCAGACACUAGGGGGCAGUAAUGAGGCUCUUCUCUCCCUCCUGCAGCUUUUUAACCUCCUGAUCAGACAAACUUGGAGAGAAACAGCCUCAUCCAGAUUCUGUGAGAGGCUUCACGCUGUUCCUCCUUGACCUUUACAGCGACCUUUGACCUCCGUCUCUCUGCGCUCAUCUGCUGGGUGUUAAUAUUCCACUCAGAGACUUUCCUUCUCAGGUUUUUACUCAUGCACUGAAAACCUGCUGUGAUGUUUUUUCUAAUAUUUCAGACCGGAGUGAUCCUGCAGACGAUGACGAACCUUCAAGUGUGUCUCAUGACUUAUUUAGAGGAUAAAAGCAGAAACUCUCCGUGGAGCUUUAAUGAUGUCUGCAGGGGUUUACCUGUUCAAACUCAUUUCAGUCUCACAUUCCUGCCGGCCCAACGCUGUUAAAAUGAUUAAAAUGAUAUUUAUUCACAGAGAGCAGAGACAACUCCAGCGCUAACAUCUCUGUGUGAGUUUAAGAUGAAUAACUGUGUGUAUAUCUGAUCUGUUGAGCUGAGGACCGCUUCCUCGUCGUUAUGUGUCGCCAACAUGGUGGGAGAACAGAAAACAAUAACUCUGAGAUAAUAAACCGGAGUUCAACAGAGACGACGCUCUGAAAUAGGUUUCUGUGUAACGUCUGACAGCUACGAGAAAACAAGCAAUCACAGCCGUCAAUAUUUUUCUCUUCAGCAACGGUGAGAAAUAAUGAUUUCAUAACAGUCAGAGUCCAUUUGAAACGACAAACGACCGCUAACAGUGUGCUGAAGAGACACGACCAGAGAGCAGAGAUAGAGCUGUUACAUAAAGCUCAUCUGAAGGGGCUAAAAACAACACUUUUUAUUUAAAGACACAGUCUGGAGGAGGCCAUCCACACACUCCACACCGAGGUGAAGCUCUGCACUGAGAGGGAGAGGAAACCCGUCACCCUGUUAUCGUCAAACUGAACAAAACGUCUUUAAAGUAGAAAAUACAGACAUAAAAAAAUAACACCGAUGAGAAUCAGACAAAGAAAGACACGUUAAUUUAACAUGUUGGUAUCUUUAUAAAUCCGUCUGUAUGGAGAGCAAAAGCAGGCAGAACACAACCCCAUCAGAUAUCUGCAGCAAGGUCACUGACAGUCUGUUCAAGGUCAAACAUUCACGAUACACAAAUCUGCUCAUCGAAAACCCGUCAGCGUCGCCUGUCACUCAGCAAAUAGGCUCCCAGGACGCUUCGCAGCUCCGUCUCAGAAAGUCAAGUACCAAAAACACAAAUGUUAUCCGGUAAAUUUCAAAAUAAAACUCCAUAUGUGAACGCCCUACUUUAUUAAACACGAGUUAACCUGCAAAAACUGAAUCUGUGAAAUCACGUUGUUUUUUCACAUACAGUAAAAACUCAACAGACACUGAAUUAUAUCCAAAUUAUCAGGAAAUCGACCACAGAAAGGAAAAACAACCUGUUGUGAGCUCAGAAACACGACGCUGACAGAACGCACUUCACACAGAUCCUGUAUGUUUUCAUCUUUAGUGUUCACAGUGAAACUGAGACCCUCCAGAUACAGAUGGAAAGAACAUCAUUGUGUUAUUUUGGUCAUUUUAAGGCCCUUUAUGUGGGAGUGAACCGAGAGAGAGAGAGAGAGAGAUCAUUUUUAAAGGUUUAUACAUAUCGAAACCUUUCUCUUUCGGAAAGCCUACCUGGACUAAUUUUAUCUGAUUUUAUCUGCUGACUGUUUAUUUUAUUUUAUUUUUAUUUUAUUUUAUUUAUUUAUUUUUUAUGUUGUAUGUUAUUUAUUGUUGCUUGGUUUUUAUUAUUACUGUUGUCUUGUGCACUUUGAGAUUUGUUUUUAAAUGUAAAGUGCGUAAUAAAUAAAAUCUAUUAUUAUUAUUAUUAGAUGACGUAAGCUAGAAUGUAACCGACUGUUUGCAGUGAAACUGAGACUCAUCAGAAACUGAACAUCAUCAUUUAUCGGUGAACUGAGGUCCGAGUACUUUGGAGUGAAUCACCAGGAAACUGUUUGUUUUUAAGAGUUCAAACCCCGAGUGAAGCCUCUUUGUUCCAUUUACAGUGAAACUGAGACUCUCCAGGUCAAUCAGAGGGGCGGACAGAACCGGGGAGGGACAGCUGUCUCUGCAGCUGCUGUCUGAACUGAAUCUCCAUUAAACAAACUAAAGUCUGAAUGAGCGGAGCCGUUAACCGACUCUUCUUCUUCUUCAGACCUGCUGUCUUCAGGGAGUCUCCUCUGAUGACACACGGCCCUUCAGGUGUAUUCAGGUGUGUUGUUUCAGGUGUAUUCAGGUGUGUUGUUUCAGGUGUAUUCAGGUGUGUUGUUUCAGGUGUAUUCAGGUGUGUUGUUUCAGGUGUAUUCAGGUGUGUUGUACUUCCACUGAGAGGGAGACGAGCCGAGGAAGCGAAGAUUUUCACAGUCAUUUAACAGGUAAGGUCACCCAGGCUGAACCGGGGCUUCCUGCUGUGACUGAUGGAAAUCAAUAAGAACAACCUUGAUGAGUUCUUCUUUUAAACCACUCUGUCCUCGCCCUCGGUCUGUGAGUCUGCAGUCGAAGGGAAGUUUGGUGAGGAUGUGAAACUCUGUCAGGCCGGGAGGUGACCAUCCCAAUGAAGCCCUGCUCUUAAAGAAAGUGAAAAUAAAGAGGCUGUUCCUGAAAUCAUAAACUAAUAAUAUUCACUCUGGUAUCUCACAGUGUGAAGUUCCUGCUGUCAGACAGAGGGGGUCAGACGUGACGUAAGAGGAAAGAUCAUCCUGGUUUAUUUUUCACACGUCUCCUACAGCUGUGAUUUCUCCUGAAUCUGAACUAACACACGUGCAGCUGAAUGAAUGUUUUCUACCUCUUUAUCGAAAAGACGGACCUUUUUAAAGCUUAACAUUAGCUUUACGAAACAUCUGCUUAUUCAGGAAUGAAAUAAAACUUUAAACAAAUGUUCAAAAAGUUACCGUGGUGAAUUAACUUCUAGAUUUUGUGGAAUAAACAGUAAAUCCUCAAAUAAAGGCGGGGUCUUUUAUUUGGAUUUACUGCCCCAGGUACUAGGUCCUCUAUUUGAGGCAGGCCUUUAUAUCAAAUAUAAACCUGAACCCAGUCAAACUAGCAUUGUGUAAAUGACAAAGCACAAAGGGUUAACGCUCAGAUUAUCCAUUUUGCAUCUAAUUGGGACAGAUUACACGCAAACAAGCAAAUAAUCCAAACAACCUAAUUCAAGUCAAAGUUUCUUCAUAAAGCACCUUUAAAAGACAGCAGUCAAACAAAUUGCUGUACAUGGUAUAAAUAAAAGAAGUAAAUAAAUAGAUAACAAUAAAAAAACACAGUGGAAUAAAAUACAGACAGUAAAAGAAUAAAAGCUACAGUGCCUAUGAUUCCUGUGUGGAUCUUUAAAGAUGAUUUAAGAGACUCUGAGGUCUGAUUCACCGAUGCUUUAUUUAGUUUUGGUGCAGAGAGUUAGCUGGUGACUCCACAAGAGGAUGAGGACGAUCCUUUCCAUCCAACUCAACCUGGCGUGUUGUCAGGAUGAGAGUGCCCAGAGCAGCUCUGAGCAGCAGAGAGUGGAGAUGCUAACAGUUAGCAUUAAUCUGCUCAUAAUUAAACAAGACACCUCGUUAAGAUCGCACAGAGACGGCCAACGUUCACUCCUAAUCUGAUGUAAAGGUCGUAACGAUGGCGGUGCAUGAUCGUUGUGGUUGAAUUUGCACCGCCCUAUAAUUGAAAGCCUUUCUUCACUCGUGAAGCUCGUGACCAUCUGAAGUAGAAAGUGCUUGUUGGAAAGAUUUUCCUGUUGUUGUGAAAUGAUCCUAAAGUUUUCUGUAAACCUACAGCAGUAAUUCUCUGGAGCUCUCAUUAUCGAGCAGGUGGAGACGUUUUUCUGCAGAGAUGUUCUAAUUAUUCUCACAUAUUAGAGAAAUACAUUCUCCAGCCUCACACUGUGGUUUACCGUGAAGUUUUAUGUAACUCUGAGAUUAAAAGUCCUGGAAAGUUUAAAGACCUCUGCGCCGCCGUCUUCGCUGCUGCUGCUGCUCUGUGGAGUUCAGGGUAAAUUCUCACCAGACAUUAACAAACUAUCCAGCAUGUUCAUUAUUUUCCCCCAAACCCUGCAAUUUACUCUGAUAGGAAAACAGUUUGUUCAAACGUAAUGAGACUGUCGGAGUUUCUCCUAAAUUUAUGGAGAUACAUUCAAGAUGAUGUCUGAGUUUGUUACCAGCUCUCUGAAUCUGCAGACAUCCAGACAUCACUAUAAUCCCUGUGUGUGUAUACGUUCUGACCAUAGACUGUAUUCAGAAUGGACGCUCUCUGUGUCCUCGCUGGGUGAAGCCACUCUGAGAACAGUGCCCCCUGGUGACAGGCUGCAGUAUAGGUCAUAAGUCACGCCUCCGCCAGCAAAGCUGAUGAAGCUGUGGACAAACUUUAGAGAUUUAUUACACAGAAUAUAAAUGUUUCUGUGAUGUUGACAUGUAGUUACUGUAACCCUCAACCUCCACCUUCAUCCUGAUCGUCUCCUAAAAGGUCGUAUCCUCCGAUCGUAGCUGAUCGUAACCAUUCAAGUUAACGUGUCAAUUUACACCGACUUCUUUCCGUUCCUCUGCGGAUCGCCGGACUCCUCAGCUGAUCACAAGAGUUCUAUUUUUUCUGGACGCCGGAGCAUGGCGGAUAAAUUCAGCACAGAUUAACCCGUGCUGGAAAGGAAGUCGGGCACAGACUUCAAAAUAAAACAUCCGGCUUCUUUUCAAAAUAAAACACUCCGUGUUUCAGGAGGAUCGUAUUUCACACCAUGCAAACGGGCGGAGACGAACAAGUGAAAGGUUUUUAGACGUCAUUUCACCCCGAUGACACCAUGGAUGAGGAGAUGCUGAUUCUAGAAGUCUAGAAGUAGAUUUCCUCCUCUGGAAGGACACAAUCUACUGCUUAUAUGUCUAACCUAUGUGGUCAAAGACAACUUGUUAUUGCGCAAGUGCAUGUGAAUCCUCGGGUUCUUGUGAGUUCUUGGGAUUCAUCUGCCACGAAAUUGGCCUCACAAACACAUUCGGUAGGAAUAGGCAUACGGCAAAAAUCAGAGGCGUGCCGGAUAUGGUGGAAAUCCCAGGUAAGACUGGUUUGAGCUCAAGUCCUCUUUUUUCUGUACAGCUCCAUUUUUAAAAGUUAUUAGGGGGUUCAUGUUUUCUAUGAUUGACACCUGACACAGCCAAUGGGAGGACAGAGAUUGAGUAGAUCACCCGGGAGAUACGCUGUUUGAGCCGAGCGUCAUCACGGCGACUCUCGGCGACUCUCCCGCCAUAUGCGUACAACGCUACUGCGCAAUGUUGGUUUCAGGAAGUGGAGAAAAAACCUGAAAUUACCGAGAACUUUUCAGCUGCAAAUCUGUAAACUGGAGGAAGGAGGAACCAGGUUGUCCAGAGUAAAUACAGUCGAUGGUUCUGUCUCAAUGUUUUAUCAACAAGACAGGUUCUGUCAGCUGAAGAGCUGCAGCGAAGUUCCUGUUCAGGAGAAACCAGGACCAGGACCAGGACCAGGACCAGGGCUUUUCAAGGAACAUGAGGUCUGCAGACCCGGAGCUGCAUCCCUCUGUGUCUUCAUCAGAUAACUACAGCAGAGCAGAGGAAGCUGGGGGGGAAUCCUACAGUAUACACAGAGAUGGAGAUCACCACAGCAGAGGGGGAGGAGGAUGACACAGCAACUUUCAAGGCAAGCAAGGGCGUGUGAUCCGUGGCACGCCAUAACCGAGUGUUGGAUUAAUUCACUCUGACUGUGACAUGCUCGUCUGUCUGUGGGGAAAGACAAGCGCUGUAUCCCCCUCUCUCUCUCCUUCCUCCCUCACAUCCUCCCCCUUUCUUCAUAACUUCCCUUCCACCUCCCCUGCCCCUCCUGCCGGUCAUCCUCUGGAGCCGGGCUGGAGGCUGACGCUGUGGAUUUCAGGCGACAGAUGGGAGUUUGCAGCUGAGGCUGAGUUUCACGCUCGGCUGGAUGAGCGCGGGCCGUCCGCUCUCAGUCACGUUUGAGUGUGUGAUGAUGAUGUCAUCUCUUUUCAGACUUGCGUGUCCGGGUUGAGCCGUGAUGGGGGAUGGUGGUGUGGUGGUGGUGGGGGAGUGGUUUGUGUGGAAUAGGUCGCCUCUGCUGCUGCUGCUGCUAUAGGAUCAUUACAGGAGACUCAGCCGGGCCUCGACAUCUGCAACAGCUUUAAAUUUAUAUAACAGAGUCCGUCUUUACGCAGGCCGGAUUAAAAACACACAACAUGGUCCCUCUACUCUUUAAAACUGAGGAUGCAGCAUCUAUGAUUUCUACUUCUAUGUUGAAAGGACAAACGUCCCACGUCAGUCCAGUUGUCCUUUCCAAAAGAGUGUUAGAUUUAGAUUCAUCAGACCUGAGGACAGUUCAGUGACUCCAACUACAGAGUCCUGAUGCUUCUGACCCGGGAUUUCCACCGCAUCUGGAAUGGCGGCUAUUUUCACUGUCCACCAAUUCCUACCGGAUCCGUUUGAGAGGCGAAUUUCGUGGCAGAUUACAGACAGCAGGAAUCACGAGAACUCACAAGAACUCAAGGAUUGACGUGCAAUCACGCGAUAACAAAUAGUCUUUAGCCACAUAGGCUAACCAUAAAAGGGGUAGAUCAUGUCCUUCCAGAGGAGGAAAUCUACUUCUAGACUUCUAGAAUCAGUAUCUCCUCAUCCAUGGUGUCAUGACACGUUAACUUGAACGGUUACGAUCGGCAGAUACGACCUUUUAGUAGCUGUUCGUGAUGCGGUGGAAAUUUGGGGUUAGAUUUGAUUCAUUAUGGACUACAGCGGGGUGCUGCAGCUCAAGGAAGAACAUUUAUGAUCAUUUCUUCAUGGAAAUACAAUCAGACCGAGACGCUAAGACAGAAGAACUACGGCGUCUGUAAAAUGAUCAAUAUGAUGAUUAUUACUUCAAGGAAAUGAUAAAGAAAUGAUCAUAAAUGUUCUUCCUUGAGCUGCAGCACCCCGCCUAUAUGUCCUGUAGAUGAAGUUAGGUGCUGUUCUGAGCAUUAUUUGUGGCUAUAGAGUGGCGUUUUGGUUGGGGGCGUGGCUCUCUGUAUUUCUAUCCUGCGGUCGUUACUAAAGUUGGUAUAACUAGAGAAGCAAGCGGUCGACAACAUUCAUCUCUGGAGGGGGGGUCUAACUCGGUG